rnacentral:rRNA from 1 species
AUUGAACGCUGGCGGCAGGCCUAACACAUGCCAGUCGAGCUGAUGAAGGGAGCUUGCUCCUGGAUUCAGCGGCGGACGUGUGAGUAAUGCCUAGGAAUCUGCCUCGUAGUGUGGGAUAACGUCCUGAUACGGGCGCUAAUACCUCAUACGUCCUGAGGGAUUAUGUAGGGGAUCUUCGGACCUCACGCUCUCUGCUUAGCCUAGGUCGGAUUAGCUAGUUGGUGGGGUAAAGGCCUACCAAGGCGACGAUCCGUAACUGGUAUGAGAGGAUGAUCAGUCACACUGGAACUGAGAGCCGGUACAAACGCAUACGGGAGGCAGCAGUGGGGAAUAGUGGAGAAUGGGCGAAAGACUGAUCAAGCCAUGCCGAGUGUGUGAAGAAGGUAUUCGGAGUGUAAAGCACUGUAAGUUGGGAGGAAGGGCAGUAAGUGAAGACCUUGAUGUUUUGACGUUACCAACAGAAGAAGCAACGGCUAAAUUCGUG